UGGUGGUGCCGGAGGGAAGCCGUUAAGCCCGCCGCCUGGGAAGUACGGCCGCAAGGCUGAAACUUAAAGGAAUUGGCGGGGGAGCACUACAACGGGUGGAGCCUGCGGUUCAAUUGGAUUCAACGCCGGGAAGCUUACCGGGGGAGACAGCNGGAUGAAGGUCGGGCUGAAGACCCUACCAGACUAGCUGAGAGGUGGUGCAUGGCCGCCGUCAGUUCGUACUGUGAAGCAUCCUGUUAAGUCAGGCAACGAGCGAGACCCGCGCCCUCAGUUGCCAGCGGAUCCCUUNGGGGAUGCCGGGCACACUGAGGGGACUGCCGGCGCUAAGCCGGAGGAAGGUGCGGGCAACGGCAGGUCCGUAUGCCCCGAAUCCCCCGGGCUACACGCGGGCUACAAUGGCCGGGACAAUGGGUACCGACCCCGAAAGGGNUAGGUAAUCNCCUAAACCCGGUCUAACCUGGGAUCGAGGGCUGCAACUCGCCCUCGUGAACCUGGAAUUCCGUAGUAAUNNNGCCUCAAAAUGGCGCGGUGAAUAC
rnacentral:rRNA from 1 species